CAUGCACCGCCGAGGUCACAGCCAACCGACAGAUAUAAAAAAUGCAGCGACUGAAGAAAGAUAAUUAUCGAAGCCCUCGACGAUACUAGACCACAGAUCGACAAUGAAGUUUGUCUACCUCAGCCUCGUUCUUCUCCUUGUUGCUACCUUCACUUGUAAAGCCGACCAUUGUCCUGACGGCUACUCGGACACUGUCCCCGCCCACUGUCACGUGGACGAGAUUGACAGGCGGGAGUGCGCCGCUGACAACGACUGUGGAGGCAAUGGCAGAGAUUGCUGUUUCCCUAACAACGGGUGCGACUCAAGGUGCGUCACUCACUGACCGGGUGUCCACUCGCAGGACAGGGGCGCUGAGUCCAGCUGACCACUCACCAGACUUGUUUACAAAGCUGUUGCUGACAAAGACAUGUUUAUUAAAGCAACAUCAGAUGCUCACCCUGAGUAACGAUUCUUUUCAAUAAAUGUGAUUGUACAGAUUAUUA